rnacentral:rRNA from 1 species
UACGUAGGGGGCAAGCGUUGUCCGGAUUUAUUGGGCGUAAAGAGCGUGUAGGCGGCCAGGUAGGUCCGUUGUGAAAACUGGAGGCUUAACCUCCAGCUGUCGAUGGAAACCAUUUGGCUAGAGUCCGGAAGAGGAGAGUGGAAUUCCUGGUGUAGCGGUGAAAUGCGCAGAUAUCAGGAGGAACACCGGUGGCGAAGGCGGGUCUCUGGGCCGAAAUUGACGCUGAGGAGCGAAAGCGUGGGGAGCAAACAGG